rnacentral:rRNA from 1 species
ACACAGGUGCUGCAUGGCUGUCGUCAGCUCGUGUCGUGAGAUGUUGGGUUAAGUCCCGCAACGAGCGCAACCCUUGUCAUUAAUUGCCAUCAUUUCGUAGGUGGCACUUAAUGAGACUGCCGGUGACAAACCGGAGGAAGGUGGGGAUGACGUCAAGUCCUCAUGGCCCUUAUGGGUAGGGCUUCACACGUAAUACAAUGGUCGGUACAGAGGGUUGCCAACCCGCGAGGGGGAGCCAAUCCCAGAAAACCGAUCGUAGUCCGGAUUGCAGUCUGCAACUCGACUGCGUGAAGUCGGAAUCGCUAGUAAUCGCGGAUCAGCAUGUCGCGGUGAAUACGUUCCCGGGUCUU